AUAUCUCUCUGUACGGGAAGGAUGAGAAGCUUCUACCAGGGUUCGAUUCGAGCGCAGCGAGAAAGCGUUGCCGCAGGCAAC
rnacentral:sRNA from 5 species